AAUGAUAUAUAUCAGGCAUCAGUCUAAUGAAACUCUUGUGGUAUCCACCAUAAUCUAUCCUACUGCGAAUCUACAAUUUUUUUCGUAAUGCCUAAAUACAUUAUGGUGAAAUACAGUGUGAUACGUAUCUGGCAUUUUCAUGUCAGACUUUGCAUAUUCCUAACCAAGUCUCCAUCUUAGUCAAUUAUGAAUGACAUAAUAGGUUAUGAAUUAAAUGAGGCACAUGAUUAAUCAUUUUCGUGUAUGCGGGCACACUUGUUAUUAUCCUUGCUUACUUUUAAUGUUAGAAAUUUAGUAGCACAAACCCAUCAGAUGUAUUCUUUUUUAGUGCAUCUUAUUCAUAAGAAGGUUUGGAAGCAUCUUGGGCUAGGUUGAGGCUUGUUGGGCUGGGCCAACUUCGAACCAUGCUAC
rnacentral:lncRNA from 1 species